rnacentral:rRNA from 1 species
GACGAGGGAUCCUAGCGUCGUUCGGAAUUACUGGGCGUAAAGCGCACGUAGGCGGCUUUGUAAGUCAGAGGUGAAAGCCUGGAGCUCAACUCCAGAACUGCCUUUGAGACUGCAUCGCUUGAAUCCAGGAGAGGUGAGUGGAAUUCCGAGUGUAGAGGUGAAAUUCGUAGAUAUUCGGAAGAACACCAGUGGCGAAGGCGGCUCACUGGACUGGUAUUGACGCUGAGGUGCGAAAGCGUGGGGAGCAAACAGG